rnacentral:rRNA from 1 species
AUGCAUGCGAGCUACCUGCAGUCGACGAGAGCCCCUUCGGGUGGUGGACAGUGGCAGACGGGUGAGUAACGCGUGGGAACGUGCCUUUCGGUUCGGAAUAACCCAGGGAAACUCGGGCUAAUACCGGAUACGCCCUUCGGGGGAAAGAUUCAUUGCCGAAAGAUCGGCCCGCGUCGGAUUAGCUAUUUGGUGGGGUAAUGGCUCACCAAGGCGACGAUCCGUAGCUGGUCUGAGAGGAUGACCAGCCACACUGGGACUGAGACACGGCCCACACUCCUACGGGAGGCAGCAGUGGGGAAUAUUGGACAAUGGGCGCAAGCCUGAUCCAGCCAUGCCGCGUGGGUGAAGAAGGCCUUACGGUUGUAAACCCCUUUCAGCGGGGACGAUAAUGACGGUACCCGCAGAAGAAGUCCCGGCUAACUCCGUGCCAGCAGCCGCGGUAAUACGGAGGGGACUAGCGUUGUUCGGAAUUACUGGGCGCACAGCGCACGUAGGCGGAUUUGUAAGUCAGGGGUGAAACCCCGGGGUUCAACCUCGGAACUGCCUUUGAUACUGCGAAUCUCGAGUCCCGAGGAGGAGGGUGGAAUACCCAGUGUAGAGGUGAAAUCCGUAGAUACUGCGUGGAACACCGGUGGCGAAAGCGACUCUCUGGUCCGAACCUGACGUUGUAGUGCGCUAAGCUGUGUGGAGCAAAACCGGAUUUACAUCCCUGGUAGUCCCCGCCCUUAACCACGCGGGCUACACGUCUGGGGGAUUGCCCCUCGCUGUCCCAGCUUACCCUUCUAUUCCCACCUCCUG